UCUAACUACGCAGUUGUUAAUAGAGCAGAAUAAGCAGACGUGUGACAGUCAGGCGGACCUGACUUUCCUACCAUAAAGAAUGCUGUCAACAUGCGUUAAUCCAAGGCCAAGAUGGGCUGAGGACUGAGGACAAAACACUAUUAAAGGUAGUUAAAGAUGCUGUCAACGUGUGUUUAUCCAAGGCAAGGUGGAAGAGCUGAGGACAAAACACCAUUAAAGGACAUGAAGAGAGAUGAGGAGCCAAAAAUCUACGAAUGGCAAGUUUUUCCUUUCGGUUCUACAUGUAGCCCUUGCUGUGUCAUCUACGCCCUGCAGCGACAUGUCCAAGACACAAGUAAGUCCAACCGUAGUCUCAUUGAUUGUGUCGAACAGUCAUUCUAUUUUGAUAAUUGUCUCAGUAGCACUCAUUCAAAGGAGGAAGCCAAGAAUCUUGUUGAUAGUCUACGCGAGAUACUCCAAUUUGGCGGCUUCGGGAUACGCCAGUGGGCUAGCAACAUUCCAGCGGUCAUUGAACACCUACCUUGCGACUCCAGAUCCGAGAGCAGUGAGUUAUGGCUUUCCCAAUCCAGCACAGAUCUUCAGGAGCCAACUCUUGGGUUGCACUGGGAUUGCCUCCGUGACUCCCUUAAGUAUAAACUUAGACCUGCGGACUGAACUGAACCCACGUUGAGGAACGUCUACAAGGUACUUGCAUGUCAAUAUGAUCCACUAGGCUAUAUUGUACCAUUCACCACGAGGGCCAAAAUCUUGGUUCAAGAUCUUUGGAAGGAACAAAUAGGCUGGGAUGACCCAAUCCAGCCACAGAGCCUUCGCGACCGAUGGUUAGCCUGGGAACAGGAGAUUCCUGACCUUAUAAAGAUUGAACUUCCCAGAUGCUACGCACCACCAUGCGUGGAUUCUUCCACGUCAAACAACGACCUUCAUAUUUUCUGUGACGCUUCUGAGAGAGCCUACGGGUCUGUUGCUUAUCUACGCACAGAAGACCUCCAUAAAGGAGUCCAUGUUUCCUUCGUUCUGGCAAGAUCCCGUGUGUCGCCAAAGAAGCAACUAUCCAUGCCACGGUUAGAGCUAAGUGCUGCACUCACUGGUGCUCAACUAGUCCGUGUCCUUCAAACCGAGCUCACCAUACCCAUCAGAAAGGUCAUCCUCUGGUCAGACUCCACCACUGUUCGCCACUGGAUCAGGUCAGAAUCUUGCCACUACAAGGUCUUUGUGGGAACACGUGUGGCCGAGAUCCAGAAUCUUACCGACGUGAGCAACUGGGGGUAUGUGGAUAGUGCAAACAACCCAGCCAAUGACAUCACUCGGGACAAGACCUUGAAGGAGCUCGCCAGACCACACCGUUGGCACCAAGGCCCUGACUUCCUGCGCCACACUGAGGACCGUUGGCCAACCAGUCCGACAGCCUUUCCGGAGUCACAUGAUGUUGAGCUGAGGAAAGCUUCAUUCUGUGGAAAUGUGACAGUUAGUACUUGCCCACAACUACCUGAUGUUAGCCUGUUCUCCACAUGGAAGGACCUAAUACAGGCUACAGUGCAAUCCCUUCAUGGGGGCGGCUGAUCCAAACUCUUGCGCAACCAGUAAGGCAGCUGACUACAUCAGAGCUGAGAAUCUCCUCCUUAAACAGGCCCAGUCAGAGUCAUUCUCGGAAGAGAUCAAAGCACUCAAAGCAGACCGACAGUUAGUAACCAGCAGUCAUUUGAAUUCCCUAUCUCCUGAGUAUGAUAAAGAUACAGGACUUCUCAGAGUCGGGGGGAGGCUGUGGAGAGCUGAGCAGUUACAACUGGACACCAUUCACCCGAUCGUGUUAGACCCAAAGCAUCCUCUGACUAAGCUUAUCAUACAGGAUUUUGAUGAGACCCUUCUUCAUCCUGGACCAGAGAGAGUACUGGCUGAACUGCGCCGCCGUUUUUGGAUUUUACGAGGGAGAGAAGCAGUGAAACGAUAUCAGAGCCAAUGCAUGCAAUGUCAGAUGUGGCGUGCCAAGCCGUCUGUCCCCAAAAUGGCAGAUUUGCCACUGGCUCGUCUGCGUCUGUAUAAGCCACCCUUUUAUUCUACUGGUGUAUUCUACUGUUUUGGCCCCUUCUCAGUGAGGAUUGGACGCCGGACAGAGAAGCGUUGGGACAUAGUCUUCAAAUGCCUGACAACCCGCUGCGUGCAUUUAGACCUCUUGGAAAGCCUUGACGCUGACGCUUUCUUGAUGUAGAAGAGGUAAGAGGAAGAGGAAGAGGUAAACUCUUCGAGCUCCUGUCCGACAAUGGAACUAAUUUUGUUGGUGGAGUUCGAGAGCUACAUGAGGCUUUUGAGGUCAUGGCUCCUCAUUUGAAGGAACAGUUGGCGGAACAACAGAUUGAGUUCCGUUUCAACCCUCCAAGCGCUCCUCACUUUGGUGGAGCUUGGGAAAGAGAAGUGAGAGCUGCGAAGACUGCUCUUAAGGUUGUUCUUAAGGACCAGAUAGUACCUGAAACUGUGCUGCGGACAGUCUUGGUAGAAGUGGAGGGCAUCCUCAAUGCAAAGCCCCUCGGAUAUGUCUCAUCAGACGUAGCUGAUCCGGAUCCCAUCACUCCUAACAUUCUAUUGAUGGGACGUUAUGAUGCCUCACUACCUCAAGCCGUUUAUGACACAAGGAACAUUCUUGGGAGUUGUCGAUGGAGACAUAGCCAAGUUCUCGUUGAUCGCUUCUGGUCCAGAUUCAUCAGCGAAUACUUGCCCAGUCUACAAGAGAGACAGAAGUGGCAGAAAGAUGGGAAGUACAUCUCACCCAACCAAGUGGUGCUCAUUGUGGAUCCUCAGCUCCCGCGAGCUUCAUGGCCUAUUGGGAAGGUGACAUCUACUUACCAUAGAGCUGAUGGACGAAUCCGGACGGCUGCUGUUAAGGUCAAAGAUCGGACCUAUAUUCGACCAGUAGCACGCAUGGUCCAGCUUCCCAAGAUUGAAAAAGAAGAAAAGGACGCACCCUCUUGAAUGGACUUUCUACUUUAGAUUCGACUCUCUAUGCAGACAAGUCAGGGGCGGCUGUGUUAGAAAGACCAUAAUUUACCAUGUUUUGUGUUGUUUAUGCUUCACUGGUAAUGUUUAGAUUUCGGCGUUGUUUUGUCCCACUGUGUUCGGCCGUCAGUGAACGCACCGCAGUAGUGUGAUGUUGCAUCAGUUAAAAACGUCUUUUUUAUGACUUCUCCGACGCUGUACAGGCAGAUGUACCUUUCCUCUCCUUCCUUGCGCCUAAUCCUUGGUUUCCCAAGUUAAUGCUGUGCGUGAAUGCAUAAAGUACCACAGCAUAAAGCCUUAUGAAGACCACAGUUUACCAGUGCUUGCUGCCACUUAUUGACCAAAUCCACCAAACAGAGGACAACUUGCCGUGUUCUUUGACUUGAACACACAUCUAUACCUUUGACCGCUCCAAACCAGUGCAUCCUUGGAGACAUCUCAACACCCUAAGAACCCUCUCCGUUUCACCCUGCAUGGGGAAUGUGGUUUGGUGCACCUAGGAUGUAUUGUCGGGCAGUUACAGGCAAAAUGAAAAAAGUAAUUCAUUCGGCCUCAGCAGGUAUUUAAAGCACUUUUUAGGUUGUUUGGUGCAUAUGUGGUUCAUUGUUGGGCAGUUCUGGCCUAUGUUCAUAAAUGCACUCUAUUGUGUCUGAAAGGAGUUUUUAAACAAUAACUGUUAGAUUUAGUCACUGCAAGCCAGCAGAAAGUGCUAUACCCUCAAAUCUCAUGGAUGUGGUGUCGCUUCUUACCCCCUGCAUGGUACAUGU